rnacentral:tRNA from 1 species
GCGCUUGUAGCUCAGCUGGAUAGAGCGACAGCCUCCGGAGCUGUAGGCCUGGCGUUCGAAUCGCCACAGGCGCACCA